CCGGGCUCCUCGCGGGCCACGCCCCCCGGCCCCUCCGGAGCUCGCGCGGGACUGAGGGGUGGAGCCUUCUUCGUGAACUUUCACCCCAGCAUGGCUGCGCCCGUGGGACCGGUGAAGUUCUGGCGACCCGGUACAGAGGGACCGGGUGUCAGCAUCUCUGAAGAGAGACAGAGUCUAGCUGAAAACUCUGCAACAACUGUUGUUUACAAUCCUUAUGCUGCCCUUUCUAUAGAGCAGCAGAGGCAGAAGCUGCCCGUGUUCAAGCUUAGGAAUCAUAUAUUAUACUUGAUAGAAAACUAUCAGACAGUGGUGAUUGUUGGAGAAACAGGAUGUGGAAAGAGCACGCAGAUUCCACAAUACCUUGCAGAAGCUGGCUGGACAGCCGAAGGAAGAGUGGUGGGAGUGACCCAGCCUCGAAGAGUGGCUGCCGUUACAGUUGCAGGGAGAGUAGCCGAGGAAAGGGGUGCGGUGCUAGGCCACGAGGUGGGCUACUGCAUCCGCUUUGACGACUGCACUGACCCGCUGGCGACGAGAAUUAAGUUUCUGACCGAUGGAAUGCUGGUCCGGGAAAUGAUGGUUGAUCCAUUGUUAACAAAAUAUAGUGCCAUCAUGCUGGAUGAAGCCCAUGAGAGGACCCUGUACACCGACAUUGCCAUUGGCUUGUUGAAGAAGAUUCAGAAAAAGCGAGGGGAUCUUCGGUUGAUUGUGGCUUCAGCCACUCUGGAUGCAGAGAAAUUUCGGGAUUUCUUUAAUCAAAAUGACACCAGUGACCCAACCAGGGAUACGUGUGUGAUCCUCACAGUGGAAGGACGGACAUUUCCAGUGGAUAUCUUUUAUCUGCAAAGUCCUGUUCCAGAUUAUAUCAAAUCAACUGUAGAAACCGUGAUGAAAAUUCACCAGACAGAGGGAGAUGGAGACAUACUAGCAUUUCUUACUGGCCAGGAAGAGGUGGAAACCGUCGUGUCUAUGCUGAUCGAGCAGGCGCGAGCACUGGGUCGGACUGGGAUGAAGAGACACCUCCGGGUCCUCCCCAUGUAUGCAGGGCUGCCUUCCUUUGAGCAGAUGAAGGUGUUUGAGAGGGUGUCACGCAGUGUCAGAAAGGUGAUAGUGGCCACCAACGUGGCGGAAACUUCCAUCACAAUCAGCGGGAUUGUGUAUGUGAUUGACUGCGGCUUCGUGAAGCUCCGCGCCUACAACCCCAGGACAGCUAUCGAGUGCUUGGUGGUGGUCCCGGUGUCCCAGGCUUCAGCCAACCAGCGAGCAGGACGUGCUGGCCGCAGCCGCUCAGGAAAAUGCUACCGCCUUUAUACAGAGGACGCCUUUGACCAGCUGCCUCAGUCCACCGUUCCUGAGAUGCAGCGGAGCAAUCUGGCCCCCGUCAUCCUGCAGCUGAAAGCUCUGGGGAUUGACAACGUCCUCAGGUUCCACUUCAUGUCGCCCCCGCCGGCUCAGUCGAUGGUUCAAGCACUGGAGUUACUCUAUGCUCUGGGAGGUCUGGACAAAGACUGUCGCCUAACUGAACCGCUUGGCAUGAGAAUCGCAGAGUUUCCUUUGAAUCCCAUGUUUGCAAAAAUGCUCCUUGAAUCAGGGAAUUUUGGAUGUUCUCAGGAAAUUCUAAGCAUUGCAGCCAUGAUGCAGAUCCAGAAUAUCUUCGUGGUUCCCUCAAACCAAAAGUCUCAGGCUAUCCGAGUGCACCGAAAAUUUGCUGUGGAGGAGGGCGAUCAUCUUACCAUGCUCAACGUAUACGAAGCAUUUAUCAAACACAAUAAGAACUCCCAGUGGUGCCAGGAGCAUUUCCUGAAUUACAAGGGUCUCGUCAGAGCUGCGACAGUGAGAGAGCAAUUGAAAAAGCUUCUUGUCAAGUUUCAAGUGCCCAAGAAAUCUAGCGAAGGAGAUCCAGAUCCUGUUCUGAGGUGCAUUGUUUCCGGAUUCUUUGCCAAUGCAGCGAGGUUUCAUUCUACUGGAGUUUAUAGGACUAUCCGUGAUGAUCAUGAGUUGCACAUCCACCCUGCAUCUGUCCUGUACGCCGAGAAGCCGCCCCGCUGGGUUAUCUACAAUGAAGUUAUACAGACCUCCAAGUAUUACAUGAGAGACGUGACCGCUAUUGAAUCUGCUUGGCUGUUGGAGCUGGCUCCACACUUUUAUCAACAAGGCACGAUCGUUCAUGUGACUCUCAGAUGACAGCCCCGAGCUUCUGCUGCUUCCCCUCCUCCCUCCACUUGGUCUGCGAUGCUGCUUCGAAGCAGAGUUUUUGCCUCAUCAUCAACCUUUCCUGUGCACCUGCCCACUGUCCUGGGCCUUGAGGACACAAAGGCACAAAGGAUGAUUUCUCGGCUUCUGGAGCUUUCUCAGAAAUCUGUGUGAGGACAGAGCUGCAGGUAGAGUGACAGUGGCUGGUGAGAGAGGGGACGGGGAGGGCCGUGAGCGUGGUGGGAUGGGCAUGUGUCGGCGCGGGGGGCAGGGGGAACUUGCGGACCCUGGUGGGAGGUUUUCUUGCUGUGGGUUAUAAAGUAUCAACAAAUAGGUAUUGAGCUUCUGCUAUGUGGCAGGCACUGGGCUGAGCCCUGGGGACACUGCCGCGAUGCAGACACAGAUUCUGUCCUUAGGGAGCUCCAAGCCUAGUAGGCAUAACACAUGUACAAGCAAACAAAGCGAUGAAAAGAAUAUUUUGCUUGGGAUAAGUGCCGAGAAGGAAAUGAACUUGAUGAUGACAUUCAAGGUGAGGUUAAAAGAAUUAUGUAGAUGGGAAAGGUCAGUGAAGGCCUCUCCAAAGACCUCCAAGGAGCCGUGGAGAAUGAAGAAAGGUCAUUUCAGGCACUAGCAGAGGCCCCAAGGUGGGAAGGGCUUGGUGUGUUAUAGAAACUGAGAGGAGACCGGGUAUUGGGUGGGAAGGUGGGAGAGGGGUACCCCAUGGGAUGGGCGGGGUAGGCAGGGCUCAGACCUUACAGGGCUUCAUAGAUGAUGAGCAGGCAUUGGGAUUUCUGUUAAGAGCAAUGAGAAGAAUUUUGGGGGAGAGCAUGGUUUAAUUUUCAUUUUGCAAAGCUCCCUAUGGCUGCAACAUGGAGGACAGACUAAAGAGGGAUAAGAGGAAACACAGAGAGAGCAGAGGGGGGAGCUGUUGAGGCUGUUCUGGAAGAAGGCAUGGUGGCCUGGACUGUGAUGAGGUGGAUGAGAUGCAGAGAAAGGGCUGGAUCUCAGGUGUGUCAGGGAGUUUGGGUCAACAGGACUUGUUGAUGGAUUGGAUGCGGGCUGGGGGUAGGGAGGAGGCAGGGACGAUUCUAGUUGCCCGUUUGAGCAUCUGGAUGGAUUGUGGUGGCAUUUAUAGGAGGAACACGCUUAUCCAUGAUGCUCUUAGCAGUGAGUCAUGAGUUAUUAACCUUCCAAGUCAGCACGGAGGUGACCACAUCCUCUCAUCACCCGAAUCCUGAAGAGAAGCCUAUCUGCCUUGAUUGUGCAGUAAGGAAGCACCUAGCGCCUGCCCAGCCCCAUGCUGACUGGAACUUGUCACAUGGCCCUGCUUGACCACGAGAGACUGAGAACUGUGAGGCACCUGGAAAAAGAUGGGGAAACUGAGUUUCAGAGCAGUGAGUGCCCGGCUCAAGCUUACAGAGCAAGGAAAAGACAGAACAUGGACACAGACCAGGCAAGUAUGAUUUUCAAAACCCUUGAUCUUAUCUAUUAUAUUCUCCCACCCUUAUAUCUCCUUGUCCUGGCUGCAAACUCCAUUAAACAUCCCCCUGCUUUGAAGCAGUUCAGACAGAAUGUACCCGUGGUUGCUGGCACAUCUCCCAGAGAAGCUCUCUGAGCUCCGUUCCUCCCUCCUCCAGCCCCAGACCUCCUGGCGGCGGCCCCAAUGGGAGUGGAAGGUGCCCUGGUCUGAGUAACUCAUAGCUCCAUCGGCUACCCACAGUGAUGAAUGACACCCAUCCAUCCUGGGCUCUGCUGAUGGCCCAGCUCAUCCAUCAUGGCCUGGCGCUCCCAGGUGAUGUAUUAGUGCCUGGAGAAUGGAUGGCUCAAAAGCCAGUCUUCUUGGGAAGGAAACCGAGCCAAAGAGUGGAUUCCAUCUAAUUGAAUCCACUGGCUGGGCUGAGAGGUACUUUGGCAGCCCCUCUCGGGCUCCUGCAGAAAUAGGACUUGCAGUUCUUGAGCCAUCAGGUCAUUCUCAACUCAUAGCUGAUAAAUGGGGCAUUAUUUUGAAGAAAAAAAAAAA